AUUGAACGCUGGCGGCAGGCUUAACACAUGCAAGUCGAGCGGGGUGAUGGUGCUUGCACUAUCACUUAGCGGCGGACGGGUGAGUAAUGCUUAGGAAUCUGCCUAUUAGUGGGGGACAACAUCUCGAAAGGGAUGCUAAUACCGCAUACGUCCUGCGGGAGAAAGCAGGGGAUCACUGGUGACCUUGCGCUAAUAGAUGCGUCUAAGUCGGAUUAGCUAGUUGGGGGGGAAAAGGCCUACCAAGGCGACGACGUGUAGCUGGUGUGAGAGGAUGAUCGGCCACACUGGAACUUGGACACGGCCCAGACUCCUACGGGAGGCAGCAGUGGGGAAUAUUGGACAAUGGGGGAAAGCCUGAUCCAGCCAUGCAGCGUGUGUGAAGAAGGCCUUUGGUUGUAAAGCAAUUUAAGCGAGGAGGAAGCUCUUUUGGUUAAUACCCAAAAUGUGUGGACGUUACCCGCAGAAUAAGCACCGGCUAACUCUGUGCCAGCCGCCGCGGUAA
rnacentral:rRNA from 1 species